rnacentral:lncRNA from 1 species
AUCGUAGUUAAUCCUGCACACUUAAAACAAAACUUCGAUCGAGACAAUUAAUCCUAAGCAAUUAACCAAGUUGUCCGGCAUGUCAUUGGUCCUUCGACGCUUCGUCCGAUUCUUCGAUGCAUCGUCCUCUCCUACAGCCUAUUGCCCAAUCGACCAGUUGACUCCGCAACUCCGAUAUCCUUGGCACAAUACCUGCUCUUCUUGGCCCGAUGCCCGAGUCCACGGCCCGAAGCCUUCUGUCGAUACGUCGACCGAUCCACCGGCCCGACGUCCAAUCUUCUGACAUGUUCCUCCGACACAACAUGAUUUUCCUGCUUUAAUUGUCUCAU